rnacentral:tRNA from 1 species
CAUGACUUAGUGGUUAGAGUAUCUGGCUCACAAUCAAAAGACCGUGAGUUCAGUUCUUGCUG